rnacentral:rRNA from 1 species
UAGUCCACACCGUAAACGAUGAAUGCCAGACGUCGGGCAGUAUACUGUUCGGUGUCACACCUAACGCAUUAAGCAUUCCACCUGGGGAGUACGAUCGCAAGAUUGAAACUCAAAGGAAUUGACGGGGGCCCGCACAAGCGGUGGAGCAUGUGGUUUAAUUCGAAGCAACGCGAAGAACCUUACCAAAUCUUGACAUCCCAAUGACCGGUUUUAAUCGAACCUUUUCUUCGGAACAUUGGUGACAGGUGGUGCAUGGUUGUCGUCAGCUCGUGUCGUGAGAUGUUCGGUUAAGUCCGGCAACGAGCGCAACCCACAUCUUUAGUUGCCAGCAGUUCGGCUGGGCACUCUAAAGAAACUGCCCGUGAUAAGCGGGAGGAAGGUGUGGAUGACGUCAAGUCCUCAUGGGCCCUUACGGGGUUGGGGCUACACACGUGCUACAAU